GACUUUUUGUGCUGCAAGGGAGAAGAUUUAACUUGACAAACAGACAAGCAUGAAGAUGUGUCCCCUCCUUGGGUUUUCAGGCUACUGUGACAGUCCAAAAAAUGACCAGAAUUACCAGCCAAUUGGCAUGAUGCUGAUGCAAGUCCUCCAAAUGUGCAGCUGCUGCCCUGGCAUCCAUGGUGAUUUUAAUAGCAGUGGUGGCAUGUAUUAAUUAAAUCAGCAGGGAAACAGCAAGUUUAUGACAUGGCUUAAAGGAAAACUGAAUGUACAUCAUUAAUACAGAGGAGAAAAGACAUUUGGCACAUGUCAGCCUGGACAGACAAUGUCUGCAAAGUCCCGCUUGUUUUCACCUCUGUUACCCUGUAAGGAUGCUUUGCAGACUCUCAGCCCCGGCUCCUCUGCUGCCACAGGCUCACAGCGACUGACAGGAGCACAUGAAGCAGGAGGCUGAUUAAUAUUGACCGCAGGUAGCGCUCCCUGCCACGCCACCACCGCGGAGGCCUUGACAGUUCCAUGACCCUCAUCCUCGCACUGCUCCCCUCCCUCCGGCUGCCUCCCACUCUGCUACUUGAACAAAACAUCACAUCAGCAUUGUUUACUGCAGGAACUCAGCCAAGGAAGUCAUAACAAGACAAUAGACAUACAAUCUGAUAACCUUGUUAGCUCGGUGGAAUCAGAGCUCCUAACAAGUAGAAGAGUUCAGUAAAGCAGAAUAAAAGUAUUACAGUAUUUGUUGUCAAUGGCUUUUCAGCUCCGUCUUUGAAAACGUAGCAUUUCUUGUGCUUUUAUUUAAGAUUAAAGCUAAGCUCAAGGCCACUAAACAAAAUAGAAUGAACAAGGUCAGACAUGACUUUAAAAAAAAAAAAAACAACACAACAAAAUGAUAACCAGAACAGAGAGACAGACUCCUUCAUUGUGUCCAAACAGCAGCAAGUAAAACUAUAUAAAAAGGAUGAGUUUACCAUUCAAAAAUCACCGUGCAGAAACAAUCUGCACGGCACUGUUUCUUAUUUUCUUAAGAGCAAGCUGUGACAGUGCCAGAAGUCUGAAAUGAAGGGCAACAUGCAUGAGCACCAUCACAUUAGCAGAUAAAGAGCAAAUUGGUGACCCCAGUCAUGUCAGAGCAGCAUCACUG
rnacentral:lncRNA from 1 species